rnacentral:rRNA from 1 species
UACGUAUGGGGCAAGCGUUAUCCGGAUUCAUUGGGCGUAAAGCGCGCGUAGGCGGAUCGUUAAGUCAGAUGUGAAAUCCGGGGGCUCAACCCGCGGCCUGCAUCUGAAACUGGCGGUCUUGAGUCUGGUAGAGGAAAGUGGAAUUCCCAGUGUAGCGGUGAAAUGCGCAGAUAUUGGGAGGAACACCAGUGGCGAAGGCGGCUUUCUGGGCCACGACUGACGCUGAGGCGCGAAAGCUAGGGGAGCAAACAGG